rnacentral:rRNA from 1 species
UAGUUAUAUUCUUUAAACCUAUAGAAUUUGGCGGUGUUCUAUCCUAUUUAGAGGAAUUUGCCCUAUUAUCGAUAAUCCUCGUUUUAUCUGACUUUUAUUUGUUUAGUUUGUAUAUCGCCGUUAUAAGUUUAUUCUUUUAGGAUUUAUUUACUUUAUUAUGUUAUUUAUGUAUUUCAGGUCAAGGUGCAGCUAAUAUUUAAGUAGAGGUGAAUUACAUUAUAAUUUAAUAUACGGAUUUAGCUUUGAAAGAUUUUAAGCUAUUAAAGGUGGAUUUAAUAGUAAUUUUAUUUAUAGUAUUAUUAUGACUUUAGCUCUAGAAUAAGUACACAUCGCCCGUCGCUCUA